UUAUAAUGUCAAGUAUUUCUUUUUGUUAAUGGCUUUCCCACCCUCCACCAGGUAUAAUCAAUUUGAUUAUCUGAAAAUCCCAUCCUGACUAUCAUUAAAGUCUAGAAAUAAAUUUUACAGAGAAGAUGUGUCCCUUUUGUUAUCUCAGCUCGUCCUCGAAAUCCAAAAUAAAUCUUAAGAGAGUCAAAAAGGGAUUAAGUUAUUUUCUAAGUAAUCAAAGAAUAUUCUGUAAUACAACCAGAUUGCUUUGAACUGUAUUUGUGCAACAGUUAUAUGUCUCAAUUCUGCCAGACAGCAAGGAGUGCAGAAUGUAGCCUUUUUGAAAAUCUCAGCAUACAGUUGAAAGAAAAGAAAAGAAAAACAGGUUAUUCACUUUUUUGGCUGUAUCAAUGUCCUUGAAAUGAUGAAAGCAGUGCCCUCUCAGGACUCAGAAAACAGACGGAUGUUUGAAUAAAUUUUCUAGCGGUAGAGGUAGGUCAUUUCAUGCUGGACCCUUAAGUACAAAAUCAAAAUACGUUAUAGAAAGCAGAACCAUAGUUCAUACAACAGAACCAUUCAAAAUAAGAAUUACUCAAAUAUGCACAGUCUGAAUAAUUUAUACAGGAAUAAGUAGGACAAGUGAUGGUAUACUGAAAUGGUAUAUUUAUGUUUCCUUAGUAUGUAGAACUAGUCUGUUUUUCUAAGUUGAAAAUAGAAAUAGAAGAACAUUCAAAAUGCCAUGAUUUAGCAGAGCACUGGCACUCAAGUGGAAUAUUGCUCAAACAUGAUCUUGCAUUUUGGGAAGGGUAGCAGUGGAUUAAAGUUGUGAGAAUGAACAUUCUGUUUUUUAUUCCUUUUAUCAACAACCCCCAAAAUUCUCCUUGGCUGGUGGCUUUUUACCUCUGAUGACAACAACACAUUUCUUAAAAGGACCACUCUUUAAACUUGUUGGGGGGGGGGUGUCCAAGUAGCAGGAAAAGUGAACACAAUGGAAGAGGGGAGAUGGCCAGAACAGAGAAGGAACAUAACCUCUAAUAUAGUAAAGAGAAUAAUUUCUAUUCGUGCUGGUGGACUGACUGGAUUUUAAUUCUGAUGGCCCAAAUUUAGUUUUUAUUGAACAACCUGUUUGACAUAGUACUGCUCAGAAUGCCUAUCAAGAUCAGCUGUCCAACAAUCUUACUUGAGACAGGUUAGCUUCCAGGGGUGAGGGGCAAUACGUUAACUUAAUUAUACAGGCAUUUUUAAUAGCUUUUCAACCCUAAACUCCUGGCUGGGGUGGGAGAUAUAACAAAAGUUGAAGGAUUUAUAAUCAUUAAAGAAAUGAAGAUAAAACAAGUAAAUAAUGCUUUUCCUUCCUCAUUUCUCAUUCAGUAAUACCUUAUUGAAUUAGAUUGUGUGCUUUAUAAGAAUUAGAUUAUGUUACGCUGAUUUUUAAAGUUACCAUUUGUGUUUUUGCUUAUUUAGGCAUUGGUAUUCCACUUUUCAGGCAAACAGCCUUUGGAGAACAGCUUACAACAGAACUGAGGAAGUUCACACUGUAAGGAUGGAGAGGAAUCACCGACUCAUAAACUUGAAAUGUGAGAUUGCAAAUAAAUUCCGCAAAAUGAUCUUGACAUUCUGACAGCUGCAAUUUAUCAUCAUAAAUUACUCUGCUUUGCUGCAAACUUUCUGCCAUAUGAAGACAGUGAUCUUUCUAAAUUGCCUAGUGUCCUCUUCCAUAAUGAACUUAGGUUUUGAAGAUCUUGAUACCCACAGAUAAAGAAUACCUCGGUGGAGAAAUCCAGGGAUACUGGGGCCUCACUGUACAUCUGUGAAAAUAUUCACAUACUACUGAUCACCAGAUGAAGAUGAUUUUUCUAUCUAGUUAUUGCAAUAUAUUGCUUAGGGGAGAGAUUGGAGAACAUAAGACAAUGGAUGACAGUAGUAAACAAGUCUGUCUCAGAUAUCCCUCCUUUAUUUAUUUUAUAUCAGUUACCAUAGACCUGCUGUUCUGUAUUUUCUGUAGUCAUUGUCCUAGAAGACUUGGUGCAGUGCAUGAGAUAAAAGUCCUAGAAAUUCAUUGUGGACAAGAUAUAGUCUAGGGUUUCAUGCUUAGUAUACAGACAUGACAGGGCAAAACCCAAAUCCAAAACUUGUUUUAUUGUGAAUUUCCCUAAUAACUAGAGAAGGUCCAUUAGGCUUAAAAUAUAUGUUGAACAUAGGGAGAAAUACCUCACUUGUUAAAGCAAUUUUACAAUGGCAUCAGUGACCAGGGUAUAGUACAAAUGUUUAUUGGAUGUAGUCAAACAGAAGCUGCAUAGUUAAUGGAAUUGGAAUUUAAGCAAUAAUCAGUUAGGAGGUUGAAAAAGAUUUUAUAUAAAACACCCUAACUCAAACUUUGCCACUUUAUGAUUAUAUGAUGUUAUCUGACUUUAUGAUUCCACUGAUCAUUUUGAGCUAAUUAUUCAGUGGGUUAACCUAUUUCACAGGGAUAUGGGGAUAGCAUGGUAAAAGGACUACAUACAAUGUAAUGUUAUAAGAAGUUUGAGAUUCAUUAGCACUUCCUGAAACCACACUCAGAUAUGGCAUUCAGUGUUGCUUCGUACCUGGAGGGAGAAAUAGCAAAAAUCAUUACUUUCCAGGUUAGCAGAAGAGCUGUCUUGGAUUCGUGCUAUAAGUAUAAAGUGGAAGUAAUCAAGCACUGCACUUCUGAAAGAUUCUUACACAUGAUUUUUGAGAAAAAUGAUCUUCCUCUUCAUGUAAUUGAUCAAUAAAGGAAAAAUAUCCAGUUUAUUUUCCUUUUAAUAGAAUGCUGAUUAAUGAAUUACAAAAGGAUAGACUAGAAGGAGAAUGCAAAGACAAUGUAAAAAUCAUAUUUGUUAAAUGCACUGUUGGUAUCAUAUGGCCAAUAAAACAAGGACACAGAAGUUGGA